rnacentral:rRNA from 1 species
GAUGAAUGCUGGCGGCGUGCUUAACACAUGCAAGUCGAGCGGUAAGGCCCUUCGGGGUACACGAGCGGCGGACGGCUGAGUAACGCGUGGGAACAUGCCCUAAAGUGAGGAAUAACUGCCCGAAAGGGUGGCUAAUGCCGCAUAUGAUCUUCGGAUUAAAGGAUUUAUCCGCUUUAGGAGUGGCCUGCGUACGAUUAGCUUGUUGGUGAGGUAAUGGCUUACCAAGGCGACGAUCGUUAGCUGGUCUGAGAGGAUGACCAGCCAGACUGGAACUGAGACACGGUCCAGACUCCUACGGGAGGCAGCAGUGAGGAAUCUUCCACAAUGGGCGAAAGCCUGAUGGAGCAACGCCGCGUGCAGGAUGAAGGCCCUCGGGUCGUAAACUGCUUUUAUGAGUGAAGAAUAUGACGGUAACUCAUGAAUAAGCACCGGCUAACUACGUGCCAGCCGCCGCCGUAA